GAUGAACGCUGGCGGCGUGCCUAAUACAUGCAAGUCGAGCGAACAGACGAGGAGCUUGCUCCUCUGACGUUAGCGGCGGACGGGUGAGUAACACGUGGAUAACCUACCUAUAAGACUGGGAUAACUUCGGGAAACCGGAGCUAAUACCGGAUAAUAUAUUGAACCGCAUGGUUCAAUAGUGAAAGACGGUUUUGCUGUCACUUAUAGAUGGAUCCGCGCCGCAUUAGCUAGUUGGUAAGGUAACGGCUUACCAAGGCGACGUUGCGUAGCCGACCUGAGAGGGUGAUCGGCCACACUGGAACUGAGACACGGUCCAGACUCCUACGGGAGGCAGCAGUAGGGAAUCUUCCGCAAUGGGCGAAAGCCUGACGGAGCAACGCCGCGUGAGUGAUGAAGGUCUUCGGAUCGUAAAACUCUGUUAUUAGGGAAGAACAAAUGUGUAAGUAACUAUGCACGUCUUGACGGUACCUAAUCAGAAAGCCACGGCUAACUACGUG
rnacentral:rRNA from 1 species